rnacentral:rRNA from 1 species
CCUACGGGAGGCAGCAGUGAGGAAUAUUGGUCAAUGGACGAGAGUCUGAACCAGCCAAGUAGCGUGAAGGAUGACUGCCCUAUGGGUUGUAAACUUCUUUUAUAAAGGAAUAAAACGAGGCACGUGUGCCUUUUUGCAUGUACUUUAUGAAUAAGGAUCGGCUAAAUCCGUGCCAGCAGCCGCGGUAAUACGGAGGAUCCGAGCGUUAUCCGGAUUGAUUGGGUUUAAAGGGAGCGUAGAUGGGUUGUUAAGGAAGUUGUGAAAGUUUGCGGCUCAACCGUAAAAUUGCAAUUGAUACUGGCAGUCUUGAGUACAGUUGAGGUAGGCGGAAUUCGUGGUGUAGCGGUGAAAUGCUUAGAUAUCACGAAGAACCCCGAUUGCGAAGGCAGCUUACUAAACUGUGACUGACAUUGAUGCUCGAAAGUGUGGGUAUCAAACAGGAUUAGAUACCCUUGUAGUC